CCUACGGGAGGCAGCAGUGAGGAAUAUUGGUCAAUGGGCGUAAGCCUGAACCAGCCAAGUCGCGUGCGGGAUGAAGGUUCUCUGGAUCGUAAACUUCUUUUAUUAGGGAAUAAAGUGUGGGACGUGUCCUAUUUUGUAUGUACCUUAUGAAUAAGGAUCGACUAACUCCGUGCCAGCAGCGGCGGUAAUACGGAGGAUCCGCGCGUUAUCCGGAUUUAUUGGGUUUAAAGGGUGCGCAGGCGGCCUUUUAAGUCAGCGGUGAAAGUCUGUGGCUCAACCAUAGAAUUGCCGUUGAAACUGGGGGGCUUGAGUAUGUUUGAGGCAGGCGGAAUGCGUGGUGUAGCGGUGAAAUGCUUAGAUAUCACGCAGAACCCCGAUUGCGAAGGCAGCCGGCCAAGCCAUGACUGACGCUGAUGCACGAAAGCGUGGGGAUCAAACAGGAUUAGAUACCCUAGUAGUC
rnacentral:rRNA from 1 species